rnacentral:rRNA from 1 species
CCUACGGGUGGCAGCAGUGAGGAAUAUUGGUCAGUGGGCGGAAGCCUGAACCAGCCAAGUCGCGUGAGGGAUUAAGGCCCUGCGGGUCGUAAACCUCUUUUGCCGGGGAGCAGAGGUCCGGACGUGUCCGGGCCGGGAGAGUACCCGGAGAAAAAGCAUCGGCUAACUCCGUGCCAGCAGCCGCGGUAAUACGGAGGAUGCGAGCGUUAUCCGGAUUUAUUGGGUUUAAAGGGUGCGUAGGCGGGCAUUUAAGCCGGCGGUCAAAUGUCGGGGCUCAACCCCGGCGAGCCGUUGAAACUGGCGGGCUGGAGUUGGAGAGAAGUACGCGGAAUGCGCGGUGUAGCGGUGAAAUGCUUAGAUAUCGCGCAGAACCCCGAUUGCGAAGGCAGCGUACCGGCUCCACACUGACGCUGAGGCACGAAAGCGUGGGUAUCGAACAGGAUUAGAUACCCGGGUAGUC